GAUGAACGCUGGCGGCGUGCCUAAUACAUGCAAGUCGAGCGAACAGAUGAGGAGCUUGCUCCUCUGACGUUAGCGGAGGACGGGUGAGUAACACGUGGAUAACCUACCUAUAAGACUGGGAUAACUUCGGGAAACCGGAGCUUAUACCGGAUAAUAUAUUGAACCGCAUGGUUCAAUAGUGAAAGACGGCUUUGCUGUAACUUAUAGCUGGAUCUGCGCCGGGUUAGCUAGUUGGUAAGGUAACGGCUUACCAAGGCAACGAUGCGUAUCCGACAUGAGUGGGUGAGCAGCCACACUGAGACGGAGACACGGUCCAGAGUGCUAGGGGAAGCAGCAGUAGGGAUUCUGCCGCAAGGGGCGAAAACCUGACGGAGCAACGCCGCGGGAGUGAUGAGGGUCUUCGGGUCCGAAAACUCUGUUAUUGGGGAGGAACAAAUGUGUAAGUAACUAUGCACGUCUUGACGGUACCUAAUCAGAGAGCCACGGCUAACUACGUG
rnacentral:rRNA from 1 species